CUCCAGAUGUGAUGGUGGUUAGUGAUGACUGUCAUACCAAUGCCAACCCACCCGUCCAUCGCCUCAUUUGGACCAGGUGGUCAAACGCCGGUGUAUUUCAGUUUGAGCGAUUCCGAAGGAUUCCUCAGCUGUGGAGCUUCCAGACAGCAGCAGCAGAGUUAUGUCAACCUUAAACCCAAAGAACCGUGACGGGCAUGAUGGGAGGGGAAAGGAAAAAGCCACUCUGGGCUCAAAACAACCUCACACUCUGUGUGAACAUCAGCGGCUUCUGGAUCAUUUUGACUGGGCCCUGAUGCGUCCACACUGUGACCUGUAGGAGCGUCUCCGUUAAUCUGAGCCUUACGGGGGCAGGUGGGUGAGUCUUUUGUGCCCAAUAUCCCCACAUUCGAAACACUUCAUGCUUCCCGUGUUGGCAUAAAGCAUGCAGGACUUCCGGUAUGACUUUACAAUAAGACUACCCUUAUAAAGGAUUUGUAAAUGGUUUCUAAUUAGGUUAUUAAUUAGGUUGUAAAUGUUCUGCCCUCUGAUUUAAGUUGGUGAAGGAGGUUUGUAUGUUGCCAAUGAUGAUUGGUUAUAGUUCAUGCAGUGGCUGUUCAAAUGGACACACUACAUUGAAUCCACGAAUGACUUUUAUUUUGACACGUUGUAAGAGACUUGCUGUGAAUCGUGAGAGAGGGAAGUGCUAUGUUGCUAUGGAGCAUAGAUGUGCGCGUGUGUAGGCUUCCCCUGUGUUUUGAACUUUCUUAAUACCCUCGAAAGCAAUGUCUGUAAGUUUGGUUGUUUUGUACUUUAUUUAACAAGCGUAAGUAACUUAGAGUUUCUUCUAUAUGCACUGUUAGAUACAUGGUGUGCAGAUUGAUAGUAAUCGAUUCAGUUGUCGCAGCGAUGCUAAUUUACGAUAACUUUGUAUACUAAUGUAUGACCACGUUAAUGUACCAUUUGCUUGUAAUUCUGUUUUGUAGUCAGUUGUGCCAUACGGUAACUAGUUAAGAGACGUUCUAAGUCUUUUCUGUUUUUAUUUAUCGCAGUUUCACUUGUAAACUUUCACCUGCCUCACCUGAAGAACGUUAAUAAAGGAGCAAGGCGCUCACUUCCUGGCUCAUGAAAA